rnacentral:lncRNA from 1 species
AAGAGGCUGACGGGAUCUACGCGGCCUCAGCCGGCCUCAGACAAGUCCCUGUUAAGUGGACUGCCCCUGAAGCUCUUAAUUAUGGUACCUGAUUCUCACCCAUCCUGGGCUGCAAGGCCGAUGACUGGGCACGGGUGGACUCCUCUGACGGGGAUAGUCUCCCUAUGCUGCCUUGCUUCCUCUGCAGGACGCUACUCCUCAGAAAGUGACGUGUGGAGCUUUGGCAUUUUGCUGUGGGAGACCUUCAGCCUAGGGGCCUCACCUUAUCCCAACCUCACCAAUCAGCAGACACGGGAGUUUGUCGAAAAGGGUAAGGCCACAGAUUUAUGAUGGUACCUCAGGACCAAGCUCCUAAGAUGUUCCUGACAAAUGCUUCCUCCUCAAAACCUCCUACUGGGGCAGGAUAAGAAGAGUCUGUAGCUACCACAGGUGGCAAGCCUGUCUAUGCAUGGCAGGCCAGAGAUUAGAGCCUAGGCCUCUGUUUUUGGGGUUCUUAGUGGUUUCUCUCACGGGCAGUGAAUCGGAAGGAAUCUGAUCCCUUCUCAUACUUGGUGCGCUGCACCUGUCCUCGUAGGGCAUCGUCUGCCUUGCCCAGAGCUGUGCCCUGAUGCAGUCUUCAGGCUCAUGGAGCAGUGCUGGGCCUAUGAGCCGGGGCAGAGGCCUAGCUUCAGCACCAUCUGCCAGGAGCUACAGAGUAUCCGAAAGCGGCAUCGGUGAGACCAGUGGCCUGUUCGGGCAAGAGUGUACGUCCUCAGCAGUUCCCACUCACUGUUGGACAGCUCCAAGACCUGGGUUCCAACACUAGCAGCAGGGCUUCGGGCAGGGUGCGGCUCCAGGGAGGGUCACCAUCCUUCUUCCUGCACAAAUUCAUCUCUUGGACAGAAAAAUAAAACAAAUUGUGUUCAUCAGGUAA